UUCGGCAAUGGACGAAAGUCUGACCGAGCAACGCCGCGUGAGUGAAGAAGGUUUUCGGAUCGUAAAACUCUGUUGGUAGAGAAGAACGUUGGUGAGAGUGGAAAGCUCAUCAAGUGACGGUAACUACCCAGAAAGGGACGGCUAACUACGUGCCAGCAGCCGCGGUAAUACGUAGGUCCCGAGCGUUGUCCGGAUUUAUUGGGCGUAAAGCGAGCGCAGGUGGUUUAUUAAGUCUGGUGUAAAAGGCAGUGGCUCAACCAUUGUAUGCAUUGGAAACUGGUAGACUUGAGUGCAGGAGAGGAGAGUGGAAUUCCAUGUGUAGCGGUGAAAUGCGUAGAUAUAUGGAGGAACACCGGUGGCGAAAGCGGCUCUCUGGCCUGUAACUGACACUGAGGCUCGAAAGCGUGGGGAGCAAACAGGAUUAGAUACCCUGGUAGUCCACGCCGUAAACGAUGAGUGCUAGAUGUAGGGAGCUAUAAGUUCUCUGUAUCGCAGCUAACGCAAUAAGCACUCCGCCUGGGGAGUACGACCGCAAGGUUGAAACUCAAAGGAAUUGACGGGGGCCCGCACAAG
rnacentral:rRNA from 1 species